AGGUAGUGCAACGUAUCCUUGGUCUCCCUGCUGGAGAUAUAUUAAUGGAUGACAAAAACUGGAGCAAGGAGUACUACGAAUUUUGAAAGGUGCUGAAAGAUAAGGGAUAUGAUGUAGUGACUUGCGUUAAAUCUAAAGAGAGAAUGCAAGAAAACAAAAAAAUCUCUUUCGAUGUGUUAUUGAAGUACAUGAAAUCUGUCGAAAAUAAGCAACAGCAAGCCCAUGCUUUCUUCUGCAUUGUGCUAUGCAAGCUGCUCCUAACAACGGCGAGCAAUGUGCCCACUUUGCAGCACGUGGGGAUGUGCUCUUACAUUGAGAGCACGGAAAAGUAUAAUUGGUGCAGAUAUGUUUGUCAAGAUCUGAAAAAUAAAAUCACUACAUGGAAAAAUAGGGCAAAACCACCAUAAAAAAUACAAGGGUGCUUCUGCUGUUGGUAAGUGAGAAUCUUCAGAACAAUUUCUUUUACGAACAUGAUAAAAGUUGUGCUUUGACCGAACAUGAUAAAAGUUGUGCUUUGACCGAACAUGAUAAAAGUUGUGCUUUGACCGAUUGUGCUGCUUUACAGAUAUGUUUGCUUGAAACUCUUGAGCCGCAACCUGGGCUGGAAGAAACACCGGCUGGUCCACUCAUUGGACGCUAUGAUGACAAAAAAAUUGAAGACAUGGUAAAGAAUAUUAAGGAUACAAUGAAUGUCACACAAGAGGUAAGUGUGGCAUGCUUCUACUACAGUCAUUUUCUACUACAGAGUAUUAAAAAGAUAUUGUCUUUACAUUGGUGCCUUUCAGAUUGCCAAGCACAAGACCAAGCAGCACAAGGCCAAGCCUCAACCCCCAAAGUAAAUAAACUAGCUUCCGGAAAGCAAAAGGUUGCAGGAUAACAGAUAGUGAUUCAAAUUCCAUCUGUGGAAGAUUUGCUCAAGGAAAGUGAGGUUGAUAAGGGUGAGGAGGGUAUUCUUUUGAAAGAAAUAAACAGCAAAAUUGAGUCCGAUCAAACCAAGUUGAUGGAAGAAAUUAAAAAAAAUAAAGGACCUCCAGUUGCAAAAUAAUGAAGAUUUAAAGAAGAUUGUUGCGGAACAUUCUAUCUUGUCUAAGAUGUAUAAUGAGAU